rnacentral:rRNA from 1 species
UACAGAGGUCCCAAGCGUUGUUCGGAUUCACUGGGCGUAAAGGGUGCGUAGGUGGUGGGGUAAGUCGGAUGUGAAAUCUCCGAGCUCAACUCGGAAAUGGCAUUGGAAACUACCCUGCUAGAGGGUCGGAGGGGGGACUGGAAUGACUUGGUGUAGCAGUGAAAUGUGUAGAUAUCAAGUGGAACACCAGUGGCGAAGGCGAGUCCCUGGACGACUCCUGACACUGAGGCACGAAAGCUAGGGGAGCAAACAGG